rnacentral:rRNA from 1 species
UACGUAGGGGGCGAGCGUUGUCCGGAAUUAUUGGGCGUAAAGAGCGUGUAGGCGGUUCGGUAAGUCUGCCGUGAAAACCUGGGGCUCAACCCCGGGCGUGCGGUGGAUACUGCCGGGCUAGAGGGUGGUAGAGGCGAGUGGAAUUCCCGGUGUAGCGGUGAAAUGCGCAGAUAUCGGGAGGAACACCAGUAGCGAAGGCAGCUCGCUGGGACGGUACUGACGCUAAGGCGCGAAAGCGUGGGGAGCGAACAGG